AAACCAUGCAUCGGGCAUUUUCUAAUCAAUUCAUUGAAUCUCUCCCAAGCUUCAUACAAUGUCUCAUCUUCAUAUUGUCGAAAAGAUAUAAUAUCGUUCCUCAAUUU
rfam:Gossypium arboreum cultivar AKA8401 contig_7403_9, whole genome shotgun sequence.